UGACCUGGCGGCAUGCUUACCCAUGCUGUCGAACGGUAACAGGCCGCUGCGGAUCCCUUCGGGGUGACCUUGGCGCUGACGAGUGGCGGACGGGUGAGUAACGCGUAGGAAUCUGCCUGGCAGCGGGGGACAACUCCGGGAAACCGGAGCUAAUACCGCAUACGCCCUACGGGGGAAAGACGGGGAUCUUCGGACCUGUCACUGCCAGAUGAGCCUGCGUCGGAUUAGCUUGUUGGUGGGGUAACGGCCUACCAAGGCGACGAUCUGUAGCUGGUCUGAGAGGAUGACCAGUCACACUGGGACUGAGACACGGCCCAGACUCCUACGGGAGGCAGCAGUGGGGAAUAUAGGACAAUGGGCGCAAGCCUGAUCCAGCAAUGCCGCGUGUGUGAAGAAGGCCUUCGGGUUGUAAAG
rnacentral:rRNA from 1 species